AGAGUUUGAUCAUGGCUCAGAUUGAACGCUGGCGGCAUGCCUUACACAUGCAAGUCGAACGGCAGCACGGGGGCAACCNNNNNGGCGAGUGGCGAACGGGUGAGUAAUGCAUCGGAACGUGUCCUGUCGUGGGGGAUAACCAGUCGAAAGAUUGGCUAAUACCGCAUGAGAUCGAGAGAUGAAAGCGGGGGACCGCAAGGCCUCGCGCGAUAGGAGCGGCCGAUGCCGGAUUAGCUAGUUGGCGGGGUAACGGCCCACCAAGGCGACGAUCCGUAGCUGGUUUGAGAGAACGACCAGCCACACUGGGACUGAGACACGGCCCAGACUCCUACGGGAGGCAGCAGUGGGGAAUUUUGGACAAUGGGCGCAAGCCUGAUCCAGCCAUGCCGCGUGUGUGAAGAAGGCCUUCGGGUUGUAAAGCACUUUCGGACGGAACGAAAUCGCGCGGGUGAAUAAUCCGCGUGGAUGACGGUACCGUAAGAAGAAGCACCGGCUAACUACGUGCCAGCAGCCGCGGUAAUACGUAGGGUGCGAGCGUUAAUCGGAAUUACUGGGCGUAAAGGGUGCGCAGGCGGCUCCGCAUGUCAGGCGUGAAAUCCCCGGGCUUAACUUGGGAACUGCGCUUGAAACUACGGGGCUGGAGUGCGGCAGAGGGAGGUGGAAUUCCACGUGUAGCGGUGAAAUGCGUAGAGAUGUGGAGGAACACCGAUNNNGA
rnacentral:rRNA from 1 species